rnacentral:rRNA from 1 species
UGGGGAAUAUUGCACAAUGGGCGCAAGCCUGAUGCAGCCAUGCCGCGUGUAUGAAGAAGGCCUUCGGGUUGUAAAGUACUUUCAGCGGGGAGGAAGGCGAUAAGGUUAAUAACCUUGUCGAUUGACGUUACCCGCAGAAGAAGCACCGGCUAACUCCGGGCCAGCAGCCGCGGUAAUACGGAGGGUGCAAGCGUUAAACGGAAUUACUGGGCGUAAAGCGCACGCAGGCGGUCUGUCAAGUCGGAUGUGAAAUCCCCGGGCUCAACCUGGGAACUGCAUUCGAAACUGGCAGGCUAGAGUCUUGUAGAGGGGGGUAGAAUUCCAGGUGUAGCGGUGAAGUGCGUAGAGAUCUGGAGGAAUACCGGUGGCGAAGGCGGCCCCCUGGACAAAGACUGACGCUCAGGUGCGAAAGCGUGGGGAGCAAACA